AAAAUGAUAACAUCAUUAUAUAAGAACAACUAUCAACAUGAUAUAUAUACUAAAUGCCGAAGGAGGAGUCAACUACUGAGUAUUAAAGUAGUAAUGUCCCAACCAUCUCCGAACAAUGGACGGUGAGAGCUUGCUGCUCCAGCCAUUCUUGAUUUCAGUCAGCCAUCAACCAAAUUUAGACAAGAAACAAAGUACCCAAAUCCGAGGAACCAUGUUGUCCAAGUCUUCAGCUCUAAGCACCAUUGCCAGCCUUUGCUUCUUCUGGUUCUUGAUUUUCAGUUUUCCUUCUUCAUGUUCAGCUCUUGAAACCAAUGCCACUGACUAUGAGGCUUUGAUGGCCUUCAAAUCCCAUCUUCUGCUGCAACAAGACAGCAUCUUGGCCACCAACUGGAGCUCGACUGCUCAUUUCUGCAGCUGGUUUGGAGUUAGAUGCUUGAAUCAGAGAGUGAUCAGUCUGCUGCUUUCAGGAUUGGCUCUUCAGGGACAGUUAUCUUCAGAUAUUGCUAAUAUGAGUAAUCUUGUUGUGAUUGAUCUUAGCAGCAAUGACUUGGGAGGUGUUUUGCCGAGUGAAUUGGGGUUCUUGCAGCAGCUGAGAGUUCUGAAUGUAACAAAGAAUUCUCUCCAGGGGAGGAUUCCGGCGAACCUGAGUCAGUGUGGGGAGCUUCAAGAACUGGAUUUGUCAUACAACUUCAUAGCAGGGAGCAUACCUGAGGAGCUUGGGCGUUUGAGCAAUCUUCGGCACUUAGCCGUCGACCACAACAAUCUCACGGGUAGGAUUCCUGCUUCUUUGGGUAACUUUUCGAAGUUGGAGUACUUUUAUCUGCAUGAGAAUGAUUUGGUUGGUGAGAUCCCAGUGGAACUGGGGAAGCUGGCUAGUGUAACGGUGAUGGCCCUCCGUGGUAAUAACCAUACUGGCUCGAUACCUGAUUCGAUCUUCAACAUCUCAACGAUGCAAGUCAUGGACCUUUCUAUAAACGGGCUGUCAGGUCAACUCCCCAAGAGUCUAGGCAGCCAUCUGUCGAGCCUUGAACACCUUUUCUUGGACAGCAACAGGAUUACUGGGAGAAUUCCAACGUUUCUGUCUAAUGCAUCGAAGCUUACCAAACUGUUUCUGACUGAGAAUGAUCUGAGUGGAAAUAUACCGAAUGAAUUCAGUGAGUUGCAGAACUUGGAGUGGUUCGAAUUUGAAUACAAUCAAAUCUCUGGUGGCAUCCCGUACAGUCUCUUCAACAUUACAUCACUUCAAAUACUAAAAACCAGACAUAAUUACCUUAGCGGUGAUCUUCCUCAUGAUCUUGGUAAUUGGCUUCCUAAUCUUCGAGAGAUUUUCUUGUCGCAUAACCAGUUUAGUGGAGAAAUACCCCCUUCAAUAUGCAAUGCCACAAAGCUCACCACCCUGGAGGCUUCAAACAACAGCUUUAACGGGCCAGUUCCAAUGAUGCUUGGAAACCUGGUAGCACUUGAGCAUCUUAACCUCCAAGUCAAUUUAUUGGUUAACAAUCCCUUGUCCACUCGUCUUGACUUUUUCGACUCGUUGGUUAACUGUAGGAAUCUACAAUAUCUUGUCCUUGAUUCUAAUCCUCUCAAUGGCAUCAUACCAGACUCGGUUGGAAACUUAUCGAGCAAUCUCAAAGUCUUAACAGCCAUAUCCUGUAAGCUUAAGGGUGGCAUUCCACAUAGUAUUGGCAACUUGAGUAGUUUGCAUUUCUUGGGAUUAUCUAAUAACAAUCUACAAGGCAAAGUACCCUCAUCGUUCGUUGGCUUGCAGAAUUUAGAAAGGAUAUAUCUAACAGGCAACAAGUUAGAAGGCACUAUUCCAACUGAAUUCUGUAGCAUACAAGUUUUGGGGAUCCUACAUCUUGGAGAAAACAGUUUUUCAGGAUCAAUACCCCUAUGUUUUCAGAAUCUAACUGAGUUAAGAGAGAUUUCUCUGGCUGCUAACAGAUUAAACUCUACUGUGCCUUUGCGUUUCUGGGAUUUGGUGAAGGUGGAAGGUGUAAACUUGUCCAGGAAUCAACUACAUGGCAUGCUACCGGUGGAAAUGGGAAACUUGAAAGCAGUUAAUAUCAUAGACCUCUCUUCUAACAACUUCUCGGGUGAAAUUCCAAACUCGGUAGGGAGCCUUCAGAACCUACUUGCACUUGAUAUGUCGCAGAACAAAUUUCAAGGUCCUAUACCAAACAGUUUGAGCAAUCUGAUAGUCAUUGAAUUCUUGGAUCUGUCCUUAAAUGAGCUCUCUGGUGGUAUUCCUCCAUCCCUUGGAUCACUUCGCGAUCUCAAGUAUCUAAAUCUUUCUUUCAACAUGCUACAGGGAGAAAUCCCGACAACUGGAGUAUUCACAAACAUUACUUCAGAAAAUUUGAUGGGGAAUCCUAACUUGUGUGGAGCUCCUAAAUUGAACUUUCCAAUGUGCUCAGCUCGAGGCCCCGGGCAAGGAAAGAAAUCGUCUCUAGUUCUCAAGAUAACAAUCCCCAUUGCUGCAACACUUCUUGUGGUCAUAUGUCUUCUUGUGUGGCUCAGUUUGUCAAGAAAGAAGCACCUGAAGAAUCCAACUGGAUCAGAUUCUGUCCCAAUAGGACAUCAGGUCAUCAGCUAUUAUGAGCUUCUCAGAGCAACAGAAAGUUUCAGCGAAUCCAACUUAUUGGGGAAGGGAAGUUCUGGUAUGGUGUAUAAGGCCGAUCUUUCAGAUGGUACCGUUGCAGCAAUCAAGGUUUUCAAUAUGGAGUACACCAGGGCUCUGCAAAAUUUCGAUGCUGAAUGUGAGGUUUUAAGCAAUGUGAGGCACAGAAACUUAGUCAAAAUAAUCUCCAUUUGCUCAAAUAUGGACUUUAAGGCUAUGGUGCUGGAGUUCAUGCCUAAUGGAAGCUUAGAUAAAUGGUUGCACUUUGAGAGCAAUUCCUUAAGCCUUGUCCAAAGGCUCGAUAUUGUGAUUGAUGUUGCAAUGGCCAUUGAGUAUCUCCAUCAUGAUUAUAUGAUGCCGAUUGUGCAUUGUGAUCUAAAGCCCUCGAACGUGCUUCUUGAUGAGGACAUGACAGCUCAUGUUGCUGAUUUUGGGAUCGCGAAAAUUCUGGCUCAAGAUGAAGAGCUAAUCCGGACUAAGACUCUGGGAACUAUUGGGUACAUUGCUCCAGAAUUCGGUUUAGAUGGCCAUGUAUCCACAAAGGUUGAUAUCUACAGUUUUGGGAUUCUGCUGUUGGAGACAUUCACAGGGAAGAGGCCAACAGAUAAUAUGUUUAGAGAAGGCUUGAGUCUGCAUCAAUGGGUAAUCAAAUCAUUCCCUGGUGCCCUGAGAGAGGUGCUGGAUCCCAAUCUUAUUUAUGACCUUAAUUCUGGUGAGGAAGGUGUAACCAAGAAACAGAGCCAGGUGGGAGAGUUGCUCGUGCCGAUCAUUCAUGUGGCCUUGCUUUGCUUGAAAGAAUCACCAGAGGAAAGGAUUGACAUGAGAGGCAUCUCGGUACAGCUAAAGAAAAUCAGAGCUGAACUGAAGGAUGGUUGUGGCAAAUAGUUUAUGCAGGAGUCUCACCAUGAGCCUCACACUAUUAACUCUGUGAAGCAAGACUAUCUACCUCACACAGAAAACACAUAACACCAGUCAGAAGGAAUUACCACAUUUUACUGAACACCAAACGGGAAUUAGCAUCGCAAGAAGCGUACCUGACCAAGUAAGCUGAGAGCAUAACAAUCAAAACCAUGUCGAGAAAAGAAGGGCAGCCAGUGUUCAGCCCA